UACGUAGGGAGCAAGCGUUGUCCGGAAUCAUUGGGCGUAAAGAGCGCGUAGGCGGUCCGGUAAGUCGGUUGUGAAAACUGGGGGCUCAACCCUCAGACGCCGACCGAUACUGUCGGGCUAGAGUCCGGAAGAGGCGAGUGGAAUUCCUGGUGUAGCGGUGAAAUGCGCAGAUAUCAGGAGGAACACCAAUGGCGAAGGCAGCUCGCUGGGACGGUACUGACGCUGAGGCGCGAAAGCGUGGGGGAGCAAACAGG
rnacentral:rRNA from 1 species